CCCCACCCAAAACCCCCACAACUACCCGCUCUCAGCUGGAAAAAAAAUGUGUUCUUAUUUUAGGCCGAGUGGGGAGAAUAACCGAGCCGUCGGAGCUGUCAGGAGCCAUUCUACGGAUUUAAGUACUGUCCGUUUUCAUUGUUCACAUGUCUUUCGAGUGAAGUACUUGUAAUUUAAUUCGAAACUUCUUGACAUCGUCGCAAAAAAAAAAAAAACAACAACAUGAAAUGACAACUAUACGGUGUGUUAUAGCAUACUUACUGACUCAUGAUAUAUCUGGAUGGGCUUUUAAAUGUCGAGGACAAUGUUAAUGCAAUAGGAGAUUCAAGUGAGUAUUUACUUCUGCUUGCCAAGAGGAUGUAAUUUGAGUGCGGGAUCCAUUCACGUGCCCAAGUUCUACUGCUAAAAUAAUAUAAACAAGUAACACAGAUGACCUUCUCAUAUGGUAGAACAAUCUCAUUAUAUUCACAGUUGCACGCAUUAUACUGUAUUAAAGACUGCAUGUACAGUGCAUCCGGAAAGUAUCCCCCUCUCAAAUUGUUAGAUUCCAGCCUUAUUCCAAAAUGGAAUUAAUUAACACACAACAUGCCAUAAUGACAUUGUUGUUGUUGUUUUUUUUUAAAUUAUUUCUGAAAAUGUAUUAGAAAUGAAAUUGUAACAAAUCACAAUUCACAGCCUUUUGCUCAAUACUGUGGUGCCUUGAGAUGUGAGUUUAAUGGGUUCUGUGCCCAUGCUUGUAUCUCAAAUCACCUUUCCCCGUUGAAAUGAAUGGAAAUACCAUUAAUCUCUUCUAGCCCCACCCCCACCCCAAAAAAAAAAAAAACUUUUGUUUUUGCUUUUUAAUAAGGGUAAAUAGCCCUUUUUAAUUUUACAAUUUAUAAAACAUAGCUAGCAUGUUAAGCAUUAAACAGUUUGUACAUCACGGUUUAAUGCUGCAAUUCAAUUCAGCGUGCUGCUCCUUCCGGCGUGCCCGCCUCGGCCAAUGGAUAAUACAGCCAUGCAGACGCAAACGACGAAAAAUAGACUAUUAAUACUACUCAGUCAAUUGUAAAUUGCUGUAAUAUUAGUCAUUUUUUCAUAGAGGAUAAAGAAAGCGGGGAAUGACCUCAGUGAGAUUACAUGAGGAAAAAGGGAGUGGCUUUCCGUGGCGAACUCGGUGCAAAGCUGACCACAUCCGAGCAGUUUGUCAGGGUGUGCUGGCUUUUCUCAAUGUUUGCUCUGUGGGGGAGGUUCCUUCGGUGGUCAUGUUGUUUUCUCAGCUCGUGUUAAAUUAGAUGAGGCACAUCAGCGAAGCAACUAGACCGCCCAUUGCACCCUCAUUUUUUUUUUUUUUUUGUCUUUAAAGUUAACACUGAGAGUUUGAUUUGUGUAUAUACUGGUAAUUUCAUUUGACAUUUGUAUGGCAUUUAAGAAUGCAACAAUGAUACUGAAUAGUUAAUAAAGCGUUUCGGAUGGUGAAAAUGUAUGAUUUGGUGCGGGGGCGGCACGGUGACUGUCAAAAAUGAAUACUGUAUGUCGGCGCCAUCCAAUAAAUGUGCUCUCAAAUUGCCUUCUCUCCGUUUAAUUUCGACAAUCAUAUCAUCUUUCCCCAUCACCUCAGGCCACCAGCACUGAAUUAAAUGUCAAGGACAUAAUAUGCACACUCGGUAUUAUUUAUUAAAACAAAGAAAAUAAAAAGAAAAUCACUUUUCCAAGAACACUUCUUGGCUGCUUAAUAAUUAACGAAGUACCUUUAAGUCAUUUUGCUCUGCUCUCCUCAGUCCAUUUUGGCUCCAAGAGGUAGACUAGGAUCUCUCCCACAGUUGAGUUGCCAUUUGUUUACAUUUUUGCCCACAGGUGGAUUUGGCCAAGUCCUUAGAGAUGAGUUACUUCCACCCCUAAUCCCUGGCAUCAUGAUCAGGCUUGUGAAAACAGGUUAGAACGGGCAAAGGGAACCCUGUUGGUCAUAAAGAGCUAAAAGGAACAUUUGUUCCUCACAUUGAGGCCACUUGUUCUCCAUCAAACAGAUGUCGGAGGCUGAUUCUGAACAGAUAGCUGACCAAUUUUAAAUACUUAACAGCCGGGAAAAAAAUGAAUCCAUUUAUUCUGCGGAGAGAUUAAUCGAGCAAGUUCUACAAUGACUCAAGUCAGCAUCCAGCAGAGGUUGCGCAAGCCUUCUUGGAAGUUGCUCUUAGCCGCAAUUUUCACUGGAACGUUCAUCCUCUGAAGAUUUCGCACAUAUUUUUACUAUAGACGAAAUGAUUGGUUGGUAAUGCGGAAAUAUGUCUUCGUCUGAUUCAUUGGUAAGCAAAAGCGUUGGGAACACAUUGUUUUGAUAGCAUAAACAUGCUUAAAAAUGCUUAAACAGCAACAUACGGCAUCUGAUGUGAUUAUUUUUUUUUUUGUCCGUUCCUCUCAGUACAAGCACGAUGGCAGUUAAUAAAAGAAGGAAACUAUUUUGUCUACAGAGAUGUUUUUGUGGUUGUGCCAAAUUACCAAAGCGAGUAUUAUGCAUAAUUGACAGUUAAAAAAAAAAAUACCAUUGACCUUUUUAAUGAAGUACAUUUCAGAGUCUGUCCUUUUUUAACUUUCACUUUUUCUAGUCAUUUUUUUUUUACACAUGUAUCUAUACUUUUGCCACCUGUGACGUACAGCGUUGUUACUGGUUUCAUUUUUUUUUUUCAGCUUCUACUUCCUGUUUUCUUCCAAUUCCUGUUGGCUAGAUAGCAGAACUUAACAGCUCUCUGCGGACGAAUGACUUUGAUUUGGAUGCAUUUGUGUCCCAUCUCGCGGGAACGUAUCGUUACACUGAGCAAUGUCCCCACAUGAGGAAAACCCUUCCCAUGUUCCUUUGUAUAUUUCUAACAAUGGUUUAUCAUCAAUAUUUUUGGCCUAUGUCUAAGUGCGUGCGUGCGUGCGUGCGUGCGUCUUGGUGAAAGGAGGAAGUGGUUGCAGGACGACGGAGAGGGAGCUAACCUUCAUCCUUCCUUUGCCAAGUCACAAAAAAAAUAAAAAAAAUGGAUCAUUCUCGACUUGCCAUUCAUUGUGUACAGACUUUUAACAUCUUUUGUUGAAUAUGUUCAGACUGAGCCAGGAUAACAUUAACAGGAUAGUAUUAAUGCAUUAUUAAUGUAUUAAUAAAGUUUGCAGGUAAAUGAAUGUUAUUUUUCUCGGAAUAAUCAAAAUAGAUUGACAGAGUUUUGAAAAGAGCUAUUCUUACUAUCCAUCCAUUUUCUACCGCUUAUCCGAGGUCGGGUUGCGGGGGCAGUAGCUUUAGCAGGGGCGCCCAGACUUCCCUCUCCCCAGCCACUUCAUCCAGCUCUUCCGAGACGUUCCCAGGCCAGCCGAAGGACGUAGUCUCUCCAGCCUGUCCUGGGUUGUCCCCGGGUCCUCCUCCUGGUGGGACAUGCUUCAGAUAACCCAGACCCUGCUUCCUCAUUGUUGAUGGUGUACUGCGUCACCCUCCUGAGACGCCGGACGGUGGACCGGAAUUUCCUCUAAGCCGUCCGGAAGUCUUUCUCCAUGGCCUCACCGAACUCCUCCCAGUUUUUGCUUCAGCGACCACCAAAGCUGCAUUCCGCUUGGCAAGCUGGUACCCAUCAGCUGUCUCAGGAGUCCCACGGGCCAAAAAGGCCCGAUAGGACUUGACGGCAUCGCUCACCGUUAGUGUCCACCAACGGGUUCGGGGAUUGCCGCCACGCCAGGCACCGACCACCUUACGGCCACAGCUCCGGUCGGCCACCUCAGCAAUGGAGGCGCGGAACAUGGUCCACUCAAACUCGAUGUCCCCGCCUCCCCUGGAACAUGAGCAAAGUUCUGUCGGAGGUGGGAGUUGAAACUCCUUCUGACAGGGGAUUCCGCCAGACGUUCCCAGGAGACCCUCACAAUACGUUUGGACCUGCCACGUCAGACCGGCAUCUCCCCCCAUCAUCGGAGCCAACUCACCACCAGGUGGUGAACAGUUGAUAGAGAGGUGACAUUCCACGUGCCUAGAGCCAGCUUCUCUAGCUGCGGAUCGGAUCGCCAAAGUCCCUGCCUUCAGCCACCGCCCAGCCCGCACUGCACCCGAACCCUAUGGCCCCUCCCACAGGUGGUGAGCCCACGGGAAGGGGGACCCACGUUACCCUUUCGGGCUGUGCCCGGCAGGGCCCCGUGGGUGCCUUCGAGCCCCACCUCCAGGCCUGGCUCCAGAGGGGGGCCCCGCUCUGUCUGCGCCAGAGCUCACAGGGGAGUUCGCUAUUCCAGCCCGAGCAGUCUCUGAACCACACCAACCACCAACCUCUUGUACUGUAACCCUGAUCGUAAGAAGAGGUCACGGUCUCAUUGACCUAACCGGUGCUUUCAAAGACCCAGAAAUGAUUGCAUCUGAGGUCAAUAUAAAAAGGAGUUUCUCCAUUUGAGAGCAUGAAAAGGGAGAAGGAAGUGGCGUUUUGCGAGAUUGCCUGACAGAAUUUUGGACGGAUUUCUAUGACAGCUCCACACUGGGAGUUGAAGUCAAAGUCCCCUCAGUGUGAAGACGGGAAGGCUAUCGCUAAAGUGUUUGUAGUUGGAUGGGAACAAGCUGCUUACUUCCCAGUGAAACUUGCUGUACCAUUUCUGGAAGAGGCGCACAAAAACAAAUGCAAAGUCAGUGAAGGAGCUUCUAAACUUUCCAGAGGAGAUGACAGCAGCCCAGUUAACGGUUUCGAGCUACCUAAAAAGGUACAUCAGGGAAAUUGAUUGCAACGCUCUCCAGCAUUUCCUGCGGUUCUGUACCGGGUCCGAUCUCUUGGACAAAGCAGUAUUCAUUGAGUUCAUAGAAACCACAGAUUUCCUCCGCCGUCCACAGUUUCACACACGUGGAUGUGUACUAGAGCUGUCUAUUGGUCACUACAGCUAGCCAGAUUGUCACAGCAAAUUUAACAACCUUCUCACAACCUCUGUCAGGGCUGCUGUUUCAGCACCCUGAGUCCAGCCCGUGUGUGUGUGUGUGUGUGUGUGUGUGUCAAGCUGACAACCUGGAUGUGGGUGAUGGAUGCGGUGUAGGUCGUUGUAACAACUACGUAGCCUGUUGUAUGAGGGGCUGUCAGUAACAUAGUUCAGGAUUACCUUUCACUCAAAAGUGAAAUACUCUCAAACACACUCAACAGAAAUACUAUCAUACACAGUACUGAAACACACGCACGCACACACACACACACGCACACGCACACACACACACACACACACACACACUAUUGAAGUGUUUUCAGACAGUACUGAAACGCUCUAACCAAAAACACUCACUCACUACUUCUCUCUCCAUAAUCUUGAAUUCUGUCCGUAACAAUCACACAUGACCCUUGUGCCUUUUUUUUUUGUUUUGUUUUUUUUUAAAUGUGGGCCAUUUUAUUUCACCUGCUUUUAAAGUGUUGUGUUUGUGUUGUGAACUAUUUGGUAAAACGAGUUUGCACAAAAUGUUCUAAUGUUCUAUUUUUUUUUAAAUUUCUGGAUUCUAUACAUCUGCACUCCAUCCAUCCAUUUUUCUGAGCCGCUUCUCCUCACAAGGGUCGCGGGAGUGCUGGAGCCAAUCCCAGCUAUCAUCGGGCAGGAGGCGGGGUACGCCCUGAACUGGUUGCCAGCCAAUCGCAGGGCACAUACAAACAAACAACCAUUCACAUCUGCACUUGCACAUUUAUAAUGAGAUCACCCAGAGUUAUUUAAAAAUGUGUGAUUUGUUAUGGAAGACAAUUCUUGAGCAAACACUGGAUUGUUUAAAUUUCUUCCACUGUUGUUAAAACGGAAGUACAGAAAAACAAAAAAACAAACAUUGACAAUAAAUUCAUGUUAAAGCCUG